rnacentral:rRNA from 1 species
AUACGUAGGGGGCAAGCGUUAUCCGGAUUUACUGGGUGUAAAGGGAGCGUAGACGGUUUGGCAAGUCUGAAGUGAAAGCUCGGGGCUCAACCCCGGAACUGCUUUGGAAACUGUCGAACUGGAGUGCAGGAGAGGUAAGCGGAAUUCCUAGUGUAGCGGUGAAAUGCGUAGAUAUUAGGAGGAACACCAGAGGCGAAGGCGGCUUACUGGACUGUAACUGGCGGUGAGGGUCGAAGGCGGGGGGAGCAAACAGGAUUAGAUACCCUGGGAGUCCACGCCGUAAACGGUGAUCACUAGGUGUUGACACGCAUAGCGGGUCGGUGCCGCAGCAAACGCAAGAAGUGAUCCACCUGGGGAGUACGGUCGCAAGAAUGAAACUCAAAUGAAUUGACGGGG